rnacentral:rRNA from 1 species
GAUGAACGCUGGCGGCGUGCCUAAUACAUGCAAGUCGAGCGAACAGAUAAGGAGCUUGCUCCUUUGACGUUAGCGGCGGACGGGUGAGUAACACGUGGAUAACCUACCUAUAAGACUGGGAUAACUUCGGGAAACCGGAGCUAAUACCGGAUAACAUAUUGAACCGCAUGGUUCAAUAGUGAAAGGCGGCUUUGCUGUCACUUAUAGAUGGAUCCGCGCCGUAUUAGCUAGUUGGUAAGGUAACGGCUUACCAAGGCAACGAUACGUAGCCGACCUGAGAGGGUGAUCGGCCACACUGGAACUGAGACACGGUCCAGACUCCUACGGGAGGCAGCAGUAGGGAAUCUUCCGCAAUGGGCGAAAGCCUGACGGAGCAACGCCGCGUGAGUGAUGAAGGUCUUCGGAUCGUAAAACUCUGUUAUCAGGGAAGAACAAAUGUGUAAGUAACUGUGCACAUCUUGACGGUACCUGAUCAGAAAGCCACGGCUAACUACGUGCCAGCAGCCGCGGUAAUACGUAGGUGGCAAGCGUUAUCCGGAAUUAUUGGGCGUAAAGCGCGCGUAGGCGGUUUUUUAGUCUGAUGUGAAAGCCCACGGCUCAACCGUGGAGGGUCAUUGGAAACUGGAAAACUUGAGUGCAGAAGAGGAAAGUGGAAUUCCAUGUGUAGCGGUGAAAUGCGCAGAGAUAUGGAGGAACACCAGUGGCGAAGGCGACUUUCUGGUCUGUAACUGACGCUGAUGUGCGAAAGCGUGGGGAUCAAACAGGAUUAGAUACCCUGGUAGUCCACGCCGUAAACGAUGAGUGCUAAGUGUUAGGGGGUUUCCGCCCCUUAGUGCUGCAGCUAACGCAUUAAGCACUCCGCCUGGGGAGUACGACCGCAAGGUUGAAACUCAAAGGAAUUGACGGGGACCCGCACAAGCGGUGGAGCAUGUGGUUUAAUUCGAAGCAACGCGAAGAACCUUACCAAAUCUUGACAUCCUUUGACCGCUCUAGAGAUAGAGUCUUCCCCUUCGGGGGACAAAGUGACAGGUGGUGCAUGGUUGUCGUCAGCUCGUGUCGUGAGAUGUUGGGUUAAGUCCCGCAACGAGCGCAACCCUUAAGCUUAGUUGCCAUCAUUAAGUUGGGCACUCUAAGUUGACUGCCGGUGACAAACCGGAGGAAGGUGGGGAUGACGUCAAAUCAUCAUGCCCCUUAUGAUUUGGGCUACACACGUGCUACAAUGGACAAUACAAAGGGCAGCUAAACCGCGAGGUCAAGCAAAUCCCAUAAAGUUGUUCUCAGUUCGGAUUGUAGUCUGCAACUCGACUACAUGAAGCUGGAAUCGCUAGUAAUCGUAGAUCAGCAUGCUACGGUGAAUACGUUCCCGGGUCU